AUUAAUAAUAAACCCUUGGGCCAUUGAGUCCAAUCUAUUACUGUAUAUGCAUGUAUGUGACUAAGUUUCUGUGGGAUCACUACUUGUAUAUGUGUGUGUUAAGAGAAAAACACCUGGUCAAUUACAACUCAUGGUUGAGUAAUUGGAACAAUCAGGGCUAACAGGCUUGAGCCACUCCCUGAAUGGGGUAUAUCUGGGAAAUAUUUGUAAUGUCUUUUGGGGACUUACUGAAUGCUUGCUGAGAGCCUACUAUGAAGAUGCAUGAAUUUAAUGCAAGGGACUUUAUGGUCUUCAGGAAACAUCCCAGGAAAGCAUACUUUCUUGAUGCAACCCGUUGAAUGCCAUCAUACAAUGGAAGGUUACUUCAGUUGAGGAAGUGUCCUGGCAGAGUGCUGGGCUGCUUCCCUGUCAGGACCGUCGGUCAGGAGGAGAAGGAGGAGGAACGGGUUUACCUCCCAGUAGCUAAAGAAGAGCCUAUGGAGGAGGAACAGUUGAACCUGCUUGAAAACGAUACUGCCAUAAAGGGGCAGGUCUCUAAGGAGGCAACUAACUUAGAGCAGAAUGAAGAUCUUCAGGAGGAAAGGCUGGAGUUGACGUGCUCCGCCUGGCUGCAGAUGGGAGUAGACAUGAUCCAGCUGCGCUGGUCAAGGAGAUUGGCUCAACAGAAGGAAGACCAGCCAUUGAGUGGGUAGAGAUGAGCAUAAAGGAAGGAUGCUGAGAACAGAACAUUGCUGGAAGCAAUCAUAUUUGGAUGCUGUCAGCCAGUGAUUUGCAUUCUGGGAUCUGCAUUAUGCUACGUGGAGUUUUGAUGAGUUGUGUUUUGACCUCAGACAGAAUACUUGGAUAAUGUGUUUUGCCUGCUACUGUGUUUGGAAUACCUUUCAUAUAUGACCUUGGACUGCUUUUGGAUGCAUUUGUGAGCCGGCUGUGUAUUGAACUCGGACUGGUCUCGGUAUUCCCUGCUGCUUUAAAGAUUAAAGAAACUCUUUUUGUA